AAUUUUGGACAAUGGGGGAAACCCUGCUCCAGCCAUCCCGCGUGUAUGAUGAAGGCCUUCGGGUCGUAAAGUACUUUUGGCAGCGAAGAACAGGUAUCUCCUAAUACGGGCUACUGCUGACGGUAUCUGCAGAAUAAGCACCGGCUAACUACGUGCCAGCCGCCGCGGUAAUACGUAGGUUGCAAGCGUUAAUCGGAAUUACUGGGCGCAAAGCGUGUGUAGGCGGUGCGGAAAGAAAGAUGUGGAAUCCCAGGGCUCAACCUUGGAACUGCAUUUUUAACUGCCGAGCUAGAGUAUGUCAGAGGGGGGUAGAAUUCCACGUGUAGCAGUGAAAUGCGUAGAUAUGUGGAGGAAUACCGAUGGCGAAGGCAGCCCCCUGGGAUAAUACUGACGCUCAGACACGAAAGCGUGGGUAGCAAACAGG
rnacentral:rRNA from 1 species